GCCUGCAACAUAAAGUUAAUGCACCAAAUCCCAUUAGAACUCUAUAGUUAAUAAUUAUUUGGCUAGAGUAGUAAUAGGAUGGGUGACCACCCAGGAAGUCCUAGUAUAUUACAUGCC
rnacentral:rRNA from 1 species